GGAGACUGGUGUUACCUGCAGGAAAGUUCAUGCGGUUAAUGGUUGAGGAAGCACGCCCUGACACAUGAAAGUUAUGUGUCAAUGCUGAACAAGCUGCGCUUUUGGUGGCACCCUGAUCUUCUGCGUAAGAAGUGAAGGAAACGCCAUAUGCCAGAGGCAUCAAGUUGGGUUGCUACUUAUGAUUCAGCACUAGAGCAGGGAGGACAAAGAGGAUUUUUCCAUCUGUCUGGCAAGUCAAUUUUGAGGUAUAUUUAUUUGCA